AUUGAACGCUGGCGGCAUGCCUAACACAUGCAAGUCGAACGAGUGGCGGACGGGUGAGUAAUAUCUGGGAAACUGCCUGAUAGCGGGGGAUAACUACUGGAAACGGUAGCUAAUACCGCAUACUAUCGGAUGUGCCCAGAUGGGAUUAGCUAGUAGGUGGGGUAAAGGCUCACCUAGGCGACGAUCCGUAGCUGGUUUGAGGGGAGGACCAGCCACACUGGAACUGAGAAACGGUCAAGACGCCUACGGGAGGCAGCAGUGGGGAAUAUUGCAAAAUGGGGGCAAGCCUGAUGCAGCCAUGCCGCGUGUAUGAUGAAGGCCUUCGGGUUGUAAAGUACUUUCAGCGGGGAGGCGUUACCCGCAGAAGAAGCACCGGCUAACUCCGUGCCAGCCGCCGCGGUAAUAC
rnacentral:rRNA from 1 species